UACGUAGGGCGCAAGCGUUGUCCGGAAUUAUUGGGCGUAAAGGGCUCGUAGGCGGUUUGUCGCGUCGGGAGUGAAAACCUCGGGCUUAACUCGGGGCUUGCUUUCGAUACGGGCAGACUGGAGGUAUGCAGGGGAGAACGGAAUUCCUGGUGUAGCGGUGAAAUGCGCAGAUAUCAGGAGGAACACCGGUGGCGAAGGCGGUUCUCUGGGCAUGACCUGACGCUGAGGAGCGAAAGUGUGGGGAGCGAACAGG
rnacentral:rRNA from 1 species